GCGGCUUGCUGUGCUGGCGGGAGUCAUCGGCUUUGUGGGCUGGUGGGGGCAGGGGCAGCUGUCGAUCGUGACGGCACUGGCCGUUC
rnacentral:tRNA from 1 species